rnacentral:rRNA from 1 species
GUCGAGCGAACAGAUGAGGAGCUUGCUCCUCUGACGUUAGCGGCGGACGGGUGAGUAACACGUGGAUAACCUACCUAUAAGACUGGGAUAACUUCGGGAAACCGGAGCUAAUACCGGAUAAUAUAUUGAACCGCAUGGUUCAAUAGUGAAAGACGGUUUUGCUGUCGCUUAUAGAUGGAUCCGCGCCGCAUUAGCUAGUUGGUAAGGUAACGGCUUACCAAGGCAACGAUGCGUAGCCGACCUGAGAGGGUGAUCGGCCACACUGGAACUGAGACACGGUCCAGACUCCUACGGGAGGCAGCAGUAGGGAAUCUUCCGCAAUGGGCGAAAGCCUGACGGAGCAACGCCGCGUGAGUGAUGAAGGUCUUCGGAUCGUAAAACUCUGUUAUUAGGGAAGAACAAAUGUGUAAGUAACUAUGCACGUCUUGACGGUACCUAAUCAGAAAGCCACGGCUAACUACGUGCCAGCAGCCGCGGUAAUACGUAGGUGGCAAGCGUUAUCCGGAAUUAUUGGGCGUAAAGCGCGCGUAGGCGGUUUUUUAAGUCUGAUGUGAAAGCCCACGGCUCAACCGUGGAGGGUCAUUGGAAACUGGAAAACUUGAGUGCAGAAGAGGAAAGUGGAAUUCCAUGUGUAGCGGUGAAAUGCGCAGAGAUAUGGAGGAACACCAGUGGCGAAG